UUAGAGCUCAAACGUUCUCUCAUGGAGAGAAGGGAGCCAGGAGGAACUCGCUAAGGCACACACAGCUCGUCUGUGGCAGAGGGGCUGAAAUCUAAGCCUUCUUCCCACUGGGCAAACAAGUCUGCCGCCUUGUGCAAAUGGGUAUGUCAGGAGACUGAGGAUUAAGGUAAACGAAUUCAGAAUUAAAAGAGACGCUACGGGGCACCCCACACCAACCCGGAGGCGGGGGUGCCCAGCUGGCCGAGGCUUAGAGCACCUCGCCAGGCGGGACAUCGGAGAUGGGGGAGGACCCUGGAUCCGAGCCGGCUCCUCUCUGGCAUACCCUGUCUGGGGCUCCGAACCCCUUCUGCAAAGUGGACAAAGCAGGUACUACCAUUCCCAUCUCACAGAGGAAGAAACUGAGACUUAGAGAGAGUGGGCAACCCGUCCAAGUCCACACUUGGUGGAGAAAGCUGACGCACUACAGCCCCCAACAGUUUACAACUAGAAGCUUGGAAAUGUGGGGCAAACGUCCCAGUGUGCUGCGGAACUGAAAUAAUGAGGGCUUCAGAGGCCCUCCCAUCCCCCCCGUGCCUGGCUGACUCCUGCAUCCAGCCAGGACCUUGGAUUUCACCGCCCACCCUCUCUCCCCUGGAACAUGUCCCACAUUUCUCCGUUCUCCAACCUUGAGAAGCCCCCGCUUCUGCUCACCUCGUGGCAUCUCCCAGCUAGAGGAACGGGUCUUCCAGAUCCCUGUGACUGAGCCCCGCUGCCCCAGCCCCAGCCCGCCAGGCCUGGCCGACCGCUGAGGCACCGCUCACUGACCUUCGGGAUGCCAGUCCCCACAGCCGAUCCUCCAGCCCUCGCUGGGGUCCUGGAGCCUCGCUGUUUCUCUCUCUUCUUUCCCAGCCACAUACAUGUCACCCCGCCACCAGAGCUCCAUACAGACAGAGUUCAGGGGACCUGGUCUCCUCCAACAAUCCCACAGCCACCGUAACUCUCUCCAGAGCUUCUUUUCUGUGCCGCAGAGGAAGCGCCCUUCCACGAGUCAGCGCCCGUCUCUCCUGUCUCUUCCUCCUUUCCCCCUGCGACUUCUCAGGCUCCUCAUGUCCCUCUCCACACCCUCUCCCUGAUUUCUUCUCUUCAUCCCAAGAAUACCUCUAGUUUCCCUGAUCCUGAAAACAAACCCUCCUCUUGCUAUUUGCCACCUGCCACCUCUUCCUUCCGCCGAGCUUCCUGAAUGUUGUCUGUGCUCUCUGGCGCCAGAUCAAUCUCCAAGCCACUCACACUGGCUUCUGGUCCCACCGUGCCACCAAGCCGUCCAUCCUGACGACACUGUCCUCUCUGUCCUUUUCUCAGCAUCAUUUCUCUUCUUUGCAGUACUGGACAGUAUUGACCAUGGCCCCUGGCAGCAGAAUCACUGGGGUGCUUACUAAAAUAGAUCUUUAGCAUAGUGGAAUUACAACUUGAUAUAUUAACCAACAUGGUCCUUCCUUCCUCCUUUUCCACGUUAAAAUUAGACCAUGAAUCUGAAGCAUCCAGGGCUUAUCACCUUGAGGAGGCUGACCCAGCUGAAUGUAGGAAUCAGACUCAAACUGUUGGCUUUUGCUGCCAGGGAACAUCUACACACACAGACACACACAGACACACAGACACACACACACACACACACACACACACACACACACACACACAGCAACCUUUAUCCAUUCCCAGUCCUCCUAGGAUGCCCUGCCCCAGGACGCCACACAAGGGUACAAACUGGUGCCAGCAAAGCAUUGCUGAAGCCUUCUUUCAUCAAGACACCAAUAUCUAAAGAAGAGUUCGUUGUAUUUUCCUCUGAUCGAUACAGUGUUUCUGUUAAGGUAUGAAGUCUGGUGUUAAAAACUGGGUUAAUUUGGUUCAGGUGGAGUUCAGAAAUGUUAAAUAGCACAAUGGAAUGAUGACAUAGUUUUUAAAGCUUUAUUGAGAUAUAAUUCACAUACCAUACAAUUCACCCACUUAAAGUGUACCAUUCAGUGACUUUUAGCAUAUUCAGAGUUGUUCAAUAAUUAGCACAAUCAACUUUAAACACAUUUCAAACCCCCAAAAGAAAGCCUGUACCCCCUCAGCUGUCACCCCCUCACCCCCUCAUCUUUUCUGCCCCAGCAACCAGUAAUCUUUCUGUCUCUGGA